rnacentral:rRNA from 1 species
UACGUAGGGUCCGAGCGUUGUCCGGAAUUAUUGGGCGUAAAGGGCUCGUAGGCGGUUGGUCACGUCGGGAGUGAAAACUCAGGGCUCAACCCUGAGCGUGCUUCCGAUACGGGCCGACUAGAGGUAUGCAGGGGAGAACGGAAUUCCUGGUGUAGCGGUGGAAUGCGCAGAUAUCAGGAGGAACACCGGUGGCGAAGGCGGUUCUCUGGGCAUUACCUGACGUUGAGGAGCGAAAGCAUGGGGAGCGAACAGG